rnacentral:rRNA from 1 species
CAAAAGUGGGGCGCAUCGCCGGCCCGUCUGCCCAGGCGGAGCUUGAGCGCACGUGUUGGGACCCGAAAGAUGGUGAACUAUGCCUGAGCAGGACGAAGCCAGAGGAAACUCUGGUGGAAGUCCGCAGCGAUUCUGACGUGCAAAUCGAUCGUCAAACUUGGGUAUAGGGGCGAAAGACUAAUCGAACCAUCUAGUAGCUGGUUCCCUCCGAAGUUUCCCUCAGGAUAGCUGGCGCUCGUCACAAGCAGUUUUAUCCGGUAAAGCGAAUGAUUAGAGGCCUUGGGGACGAAACGCCCUCAACCUAUUCUCAAACUUUAAAUGGGUAAGCAGCGGGACUCGCUCGAUUGGAGUCCUGCGACUACCUGUUUUGGCAGUGCCAAGUGGGCCACUUUUG